rnacentral:piRNA from 1 species
UGCCAACCCGAUUAUCAAUGACUAGUGCUC